rnacentral:rRNA from 1 species
AUUGAACGCUGGCGGCAGGCCUAACACAUGCAAGUCGAGCGGAUGAAGGGAGCUUGCUCCUGGAUUCAGCGGCGGACGGGUGAGUAAUGCCUAGGAAUCUGCCUGGUAGUGGGGUAUAACGUCCGGAAACGGGCGCUAAUACCGCAUACGUCCUGAGGGAGAAAGUGGGGGAUCUUCGGACCUCACGCUAUCAGAUGAGCCUAGGUCGGAUUAGCUAGUUGGUGGGGUAAAGGCCUACCAAGGCGACGAUCCGUAACUGGUCUGAGAGGAUGAUCAGUCACACUGGAACUGAGACACGGUCAAGACUCCUACGGGAGGCAGCAGUGGGGAAUAUUGGGCAAUGGGCGAAAGCCUGAUCCAGCCAUGCCGCGUGUGUGAAGAAGGUCUUCGGAUUGUAAAGCACUUUAAGUUGGGAGGAAGGGCAGUAAGUUAAUACCUUGCUGUUUUGACGUUACCAACAGAAUAAGCACCGGCUAACUUCGUG